rnacentral:lncRNA from 10 species
CGUUCUGCUCUGUGUGUGUCUUUGUGCCCAUUCUUGUUGGCUUCCUUAGAGGGAUUUCUGGAAGUUCAAUGAUUAUGUAAAAAGCACAAGCCUUGCUGGGACCCUGGAGUGGCGUUGGAGUCUCUCGUGGUUAGGAGCCCAGGCCCUGGCCUGGCCAUCGGGGGCUGGAAUCCUGGCUGUGUCCUCCGUAGCCAUGUGCCCCAGGCAGCUUUCCUCACCGCCUGCCUGUCAUCCAGGGAUGCAGGUAGGUCCUGCUCCAUGGGGUUGUCAUGGCGAUCACAGAGACUUGUCCGUGUGGACCACCUAGAGCAGUACCUAGCAGGGCACCUGGCGCCCUGGGGUCACCUUGGAUCAGGGUUGCAGCUGACCCACUCCCAUCCCUCCCAAAGGCCCUUCAGCCCAGACUUUUGUGCACCCCAAAUUCCAUCAAAAUCCUUUUUCCUUUGAGAGUAACUUUAUUCAUUUCCCUGCAGCUUAUUAAAGAAUUCUGAAGAACA